rnacentral:rRNA from 1 species
CCUACGGGUGACAGCAGUGAGGAAUAUUGGUCAAUGGACGCAAGACUGAACCAGCCAAGUCGCGUGCAGGAAGACGGCUCUAUGAGUUGUAAACUGCUUUUGUACGGGGAUAAAUUGCGACACGUGUGUCGGGUUGUAAGUACCGUAAGAAUAAGGAUCGGCUAACUCCGUGCCAGCAGCCGCGGUAAUACGGAGGAUUCAAGCGUUAUCCGGAUUUAUUGGGUUUAAAGGGAGCGUAGGCGGUUCGUUAAGUCAGAGGUGAAAUCCCGUGGCUCAACUCCGGCACUGCCUCUGGAACUGUCAGGCUUGAGUGUAGGUGCGGUAUGCGGAAUUUGUGGUGUAGCGGUGAAAUGCAUAGAUAUCACGCAGAACUCCGAUUGCGAAGGCAGCUUACUAAACUGCGACUGACGUUGAGGCUCGAAAGCGUGGGUAGCAAACAGGAUUAGAUACCCGAGUAGUC